rnacentral:lncRNA from 10 species
AAAACAGCUGGAUGUUAAUUGCCUACAUCUAGGGAAUACAUUCAGAUUUUUGUACCAAAUUGUAAGAGUAAGCCUAUCCUGAUCUGCCAUAAAGAGCUGGGUUUCAAGUACACACAAAAAGCAUUUGAUGGGGUGAGAAUACCAACACAUAAGCAUGGUUCUCCAGGGGAGCUGGAGUAGGAGCUCCUGUAGGGAGCUGACUAGAAGACCAGCCAUACGUACU